GGUAGCGCCUGCCCAGUGAUAUUUUCAACGGCCGCGGUAUCCUAACCGUGCAAAGGUAGCGUAAUCAUUUGUCCUCUAAAUAAGGACCAGUAUGAACGGCUAAAUGAGGACCAACCUGUCUCCUUUAACCAACCAGUGAAACUGAUCUACCAGUACAAAAGCUGGUAUAACAAUAUAAGACGAGAAGACCCUGUGGAGCUUAAAAUUAUAACCACACCAACCUCUAACCAUAUAAGUCUUGACCCUAUAAUUUUCAGUUGGGGCGACUUUGGAACUAAGCCAAACUUCCAAGCAAAACAGAYYAAAUCUUAAUCAAGACCAACAAGUCCAAUAAAAUGACCCAGUAAAACUGAUCAACGAACCAAGUUACCCCAGGGAUAACAGCGCAAUCUUCUUCAAGAGUCCAUAUCGACAAGAAGGUUUACGACCUCGAUGUUGGAUCAGGACACCCAAUUGGUGCAGCCGCUAUUAAAGGUUCGUUUGUUCAACGAUU
rnacentral:rRNA from 1 species